UUCUUUUCACCCUUUGUCUUAGAAGUCAAAGAUGAAGUUUUGCCAACUAUAAAAUCCAUAGGAGGAGGUUGUUGCUUUAAGAUAAAUUUCUCUUCUUGUAGUUCAUUCAAUAAUUUUUCAAGGAACAAAUCUAUCUUAUUCAUGUUAUAAUUUAAGUAAAACUUAUGAAAACUGUUUGGUAGAGUUUGUAGGACCAUCUCUACCUGAGUUUCCUUAUCAAUAACUACACCAACAAUUU
rnacentral:lncRNA from 1 species